GCUGAGGCGUGAUGACGAGGCACUACGGUGCUGAAGCAACAAAUGCCCUGCUUCCAGGAAAAGCCUCUAAGCAUCAGGUAACAUCAAAUCGUACCCCAAACCGACACAGGUGGUCAGGUAGAGAAUACCAAGGCGCUUGAGAGAACUCGGGUGAAGGAACUAGGCAAAAUGGUGCCGUAACUUCGGGAGAAGGCACGCUGAUAUGUAGGUGAAGUCCCUCGCGGAUGGAGCUGAAAUCAGUCGAAGAUACCAGCUGGCUGCAACUGUUUAUUAAAAACACAGCACUGUGCAAACACGAAAGUGGACGUAUACGGUGUGACGCCUGCCCGGUGCCGGAAGGUUAAUUGAUGGGGUUAGCGCAAGCGAAGCUCUUGAUCGAAGCCCCGGUAAACGGCGGCCGUAACUAUAACGGUCCUAAGGUAGCGAAAUUCCUUGUCGGGUAAGUUCCGACCUGCACGAAUGGCGUAAUGAUGGCCAGGCUGUCUCCACCCGAGACUCAGUGAAAUUGAACUCGCUGUGAAGAUGCAGUGUACCCGCGGCAAGACGGAAAGACCCCGUGAACCUUUACUAUAGCUUGACACUGAACAUUGAGCCUUGAUGUGUAGGAUAGGUGGGAGGCUUUGAAGUGUGGACGCCAGUCUGCAUGGAGCCGACCUUGAAAUACCACCCUUUAAUGUUUGAUGUUCUAACGUUGACCCGUAAUCCGGGUUGCGGACAGUGUCUGGUGGGUAGUUUGACUGGGGCGGUCUCCUCCUAAAGAGUAACGGAGGAGCACGAAGGUUGGCUAAUCCUGGUCGGACAUCAGGAGGUUAGUGCAAUGGCAUAAGCCAGCUUGACUGCGAGCGUGACGGCGCGAGCAGGUGCGAAAGCAGGUCAUAGUGAUCCGGUGGUUCUGAAUGGAAGGGCCAUCGCUCAACGGAUAAAAGGUACUCCGGGGAUAACAGGCUGAUACCGCCCAAGAGUUCAUAUCGACGGCGGUGUUUGGCACCUCGAUGUCGGCUCAUCACAUCCUGGGGCUGAAGUAGGUCCCAAGGGUAUGGCUGUUCGCCAUUUAAAGUGGUACGCGAGCUGGGUUUAGAACGUCGUGAGACAGUUCGGUCCCUAUCUGCCGUGGGCGCUGGAGAACUGAGGGGGGCUGCUCCUAGUACGAGAGGACCGGAGUGGACGCAUCACUGGUGUUCGGGUUGUCAUGCCAAUGGCACUGCCCGGUAGCUAAAUGCGGAAGAGAUAAGUGCUGAAAGCAUCUAAGCACGAAACUUGCCCCGAGAUGAGUUCUC
rnacentral:rRNA from 1 species